AUUUAUCGGCCUGUCAACAACAAUUGAAAUCAAGAUUUAACCGAUCAACACAAAUAUGUUAACAAUCGUACCCAAUAAAAAUGCUGGGUUAAGUAACAAAUGUUAAACAUGAACCUCUUCUUCCUACUUGACAUUAUGAUUCAACUUGUCAGACGAUGGACUCCAUUUUUAUUUUUUUGUCUCUUUUUUAACCACUUUUAAUUCAUCCUUUGCAACAUAUUUAUGCGUUUUUGUUGAUUUAUUUGUUUCAAGUGCUUUCUGGUACCUUUCAAGUGUAUAUUUGGCUAAUAUGUAUUAACAUUCAACUCAAUGAUAUUGAAUAUCAACUUAUGCUUUUCAAAUACCACUUUAACGGUAAUAUCAUUUUACAAUUGAUGUCUUACUGGCCUUGAACGAGUUAAGCAAGUAAAAGAUUAUCCGAGGUAAAGUGCUUCAGGCUUCGAAUUACUAAUUUACUAAUCAAAGAGGAUGUUUUUGACGGGAUGGUAAAACAGCUUGGUGGUUUAAUAGCGUGACUGGUUUUCAAAGUUUUCUUCCUUCUCUGACGCUUCUUCUUUUUUUUCAUAUGAAUAUUAUUACCUUGAAAUUCAUAUCAAAGAGGCGAUCGCGAAUACGAAGCCACAGGAAACCACGUCGAUGGAGGCAAAUGUCAACAAAGACCUCCGCGCUAAUUAUCUAGUUGAUUAGCUUGGCCAUCUUUAUGGCUUGUGUCCUUAAAUAUCAUUUCAUAUUUUCAAUCAUAUUAAUUUGACAUUUAAGUCCUUACGAUUCGAGCGACUCUUGUUUAUUUUGAAGCUACAAUAUUCCUCACGAAUCAUCAGUCUUUCAGAAAUCAAAAAUCAAAGUAAAGGCUAAAGAAGAUUCAAUUUAUAAAUAGAUGUUCAUUUGUCGAUAAAACAAAAAGUGGUCAACUUUGGAAAAUUUAUGCAUGUCCAGGUAGCUUUGGAAACAGUUAGCUGACCAUCACCUUCAGCAAAUCAGAUAAUGUUCUCAUUAACCCUGCAUAAUUGUAAAAGGACUAAAGCGCUCAAUAUUUCGAGAUUGUUUACCAGUUUCAUUGUGUGGUUAACUUUUCAUCAAACCUUUUAAUGAUGUCGAUGGUGAUGAUAAUAGCAAUAAUGGAUAAAAGAGAAGACGUUCGUUUGAACAAAAGAACUUUCCGGCCAUCUAGAUUAUGAGACUUUUGAUUGAUACUAAUGACCAGUUAAUGAUAAUCAAAAUAUCAUCGCAUAAAUAUUUAACAAAAAGGAUCUUCUGAACACCUUAAUUGUGAAAAACUGACUCCAUUACUUUGAACUCUGGCCUUGAGAUGGUUAUUAUACACUAAACACUGAUGAAAGUGAUUGAAACGAGAACGUAAACGAAAUGUUAUGGACAUCAUAAAUUUACUGAUCUAAAUGUGUUAUUACACCUAAAAUUGUUAGAUAUGACAGUUGAAACGGCGAGAGGUUAUGGAUAACAUUGUUCAAUCGAAAUGAUACUUUAACCAAGUGAUAUUGCCUGUUGUUUGUUUAAUCACCAAAUCUGAUUUGCUUUCAAUUGAAAGCUUCUAUCUAAAGAUUUAAUGAAUCCUUUCACUAGCUCUGAAUAUUGAACCAGUACAAUGAAAGGUACAAUUACAAUAAUUUUGUUUUGUUGUAACCCUUUUCUGUACAAUCUUAUCAAGAACAAUUUCAAGCUAAGUAAGCGGAAAUCGUGGCCAGUUUUAGAUAUCCAUCGACUUGAACAUUACCAUGCGUGGAAAUAAAUUAUUUGGAUAGUCCUUGAAUCUCAGCAAGAUUUUUUGAUAAUCACAAGAAGAUGGAAAAACAAAGGAACAUAAAUUAAGUAUAACUCACAUGUAUUUUCAUCAAAAAUCUAUGUUGUUUGUUUUUUAUGCAUUUACAAUGUGUAAAACAAUAUGAGAAACCAUGAAUUUCAUCAAGGUAGUUGAAUAAUUCCAUAUCAUUCUAAAUAAUUAUUCCUUUUCUUCUUGAUAGACACUUUUCUUUGCUUAGAUGAUUCUCAUUCGACACCUUAUGAUGAUGAGACAUUUUUAAUCCAAAAAUUAGUCUAAUUCUAACCACUAAUCAGUCUUUACUUUCAUUUUUGUUUCAGAUAAUUACAAUUGUAAACUUAAAUUCACACACUUGGAUCUAAAGGACAAUCACAAAGCAUUGUUAUAAAAUGAUCAACCAUUUGGAUUGGAUGUUUAAAUAGAUUCCUGAUUUAACCAUCUUCUUGUCCUUCAAAAUUUGCUAACCUUGUAAACUGGAAUCUCAUCAUUAAUUGGCAUUAAGAGCACCAAUCUGUCCAUUAAUUAUUCAUCACAAUAAUUAAAAUAUCUAAAGCUGCCUUUAGAAGGAACUAAA